rnacentral:rRNA from 1 species
AUGCACGCUGGCGGCGUGCCUAAUACAUGCAAGUCGAGCGAACGGACGAGAAGCUUGCUUCUCUGAUGUUAGCGGCGGACGGGUGAGUAACACGUGGAUAACCUACCUAUAAGACUGGGAUAACUUCGGGAAACCGGAGCUAAUACCGGAUAAUAUUUUGAACCGCAUGGUUCAAAAGUGAAAGACGGUCUUGCUGUCACUUAUAGAUGGAUCCGCGCUGCAUUAGCUAGUUGGUAAGGUAACGGCUUACCAAGGCAACGAUGCAUAGCCGACCUGAGAGGGUGAUCGGCCACACUGGAACUGAGACACGGUCCAGACUCCUACGGGAGGCAGCAGUAGGGAAUCUUCCGCAAUGGGCGAAAGCCUGACGGAGCAAUGCCGCGUGAGUGAUGAAGGUCUUCGGAUCGUAAAACUCUGUUAUUAGGGAAGAACAUAUGUGUAAGUAACUGUGCACAUCUUGACGGUACCUAAUCAGAAAGCCACGGCUAACUACGUG